UGCGCAGUGAGCAGCUAGCGAGAAUCUUCUUCUCCCUUGUCUUUUGCGUACUUCUAGGGACCUUGGUGGGUUCGCCCACCACUAGGACAAACAUAAACCUUUUGUAAUUGCAAUCAGCGUCAGUAACAAAUUAAUAAUUACAACUUUCAACAACGGAUCUCUUGGUUCUGGCAUCGAUGAAGAACGCAGCGAAAUGCGAUAAGUAGUGUGAAUUGCAGAAUUCAGUGAAUCAUCGAAUCUUUGAACGCACAUUGCGCCCUUUGGUAUUCCAAAGGGCAUGCCUGUUCGAGCGUCAUUUGUACCCUCAAGCUUUGCUUGGUGUUGGGCGUCUUGUCUCUAGCUUUGCUGGAGACUCGCCUUAAAGUAAUUGGCAGCCGGCCUACUGGUUUCGGAGCGCAGCACAAGUCGCACUCUCUAUCAGCAAAGAGCUAGCAUCCAUUAAGCCUUUUUUUCAACUUUUGAGCUCGGAUCAGGUAGGGAUACCCGCUGAACUUAAGCAUAUC
rnacentral:rRNA from 1 species